rnacentral:rRNA from 1 species
GACGAACGCUGGCGGCGUGCUUAACACAUGCAAGUCGAACGGAAAGGCCCUGCUUUUGUGGGGUGCUCGAGUGGCGAACGGGUGAGUAACACGUGAGUAACCUGCCUUUACUUUGGGAUAACUUCAGGAAACUGGGGCUAAUACCGGAUAGGAGCUCCUGCUGCAUGGUGGGGGUUGGAAAGUUUCGGCGGUUGGGGAUGGACUCGCGGCUUAUCAGCUUGUUGGUGGGGUAGUGGCUUACCAAGGCUUUGACGGGUAGCCGGCCUGAGAGGGUGACCGGCCACAUUGGGACUGAGAUACGGCCCAGACUCCUACGGGAGGCAGCAGUGGGGAAUAUUGCACAAUGGGCGGAAGCCUGAUGCAGCAACGCCGCGUGCGGGAUGACGGCCUUCGGGUUGUAAACCGCUUUCGCCUGUGACGAAGCGUGAGUGACGGUAAUGGGUAAAGAAGCACCGGCUAACUACGUG